rnacentral:ncRNA from 2 species
UACACUUUUUUAGUUUCAGGCACCCCAAGGGGUUUAAUAGGGAAGCCGGUGCGAACCCGGCGCGGUCCCGCCGCUGUAACCGGGGACGAAACCUGCAAUUGCCACUGUUUACCUGAAGGGAAUGGGAAGGCGCAGGGACUAGGAUAAUCCGGGAGUCAGAAGACCUGCCUGUGAGCUUAUUGGUAU